UACGUAGGGGGCAAGCGUUGUCCGGAAUUAUUGGGCGUAAAGCGCGCGCAGGCGGCUGUUUAAGUCUGGUGUUUAAGCCCGGGGCUCAACCCCGGUUCGCACCGGAAACUGGAUGGCUUGAGUGCAGGAGAGGGAAGUGGAAUUCCACGUGUAGCGGUGAAAUGCGUAGAGAUGUGGAGGAACACCAGUGGCGAAGGCGACUUCCUGGCCUGUAACUGACGCUGAGGCGCGAAAGCGUGGGGAGCAAACAGG
rnacentral:rRNA from 1 species